rnacentral:rRNA from 1 species
CAGUGAGGAAUAUUGGUCAAUGGACGGAAGUCUGAACCAGCCAUGCCGCGUGAAGGAUUAAGGCGUUCUGCGUUGUAAACUUCUUUUAUUGGGGAAGAAACCACUUAUAUCUAUAGGUGUUGACGGUACCCGAUGAAUAAGCACCGGCUAACUCCGUGCCAGCAGCCGCGGUAAUACGGAGGGUGCAAGCGUUAUCCGGAUUUACUGGGUUUAAAGGGUGUGUAGGCGGCUGUGUAAGUCAGGGGUGAAAUCCCGGGGCUCAACCCCGGAACUGCCUUUGAUACUAUACAGCUUGAAUUAUGUUGAGGUUGGCGGAAUAUAACAUGUAGCGGUGAAAUGCAUAGAUAUGUUAUAGAACACCGAUUGCGAAGGCAGCUGACUAAACAUAUAUUGACGCUGAGGCACGAAAGCGUGGGUAGCGAACAGGAUUAGA